rnacentral:misc_RNA from 1 species
AAGUCGUAACAAGGUUUCCGUAGGUGAACCUGCGGAAGGAUCAUUAUUGAAUGAAUCUAGAGUGGUUGUCGCUGGCCCCCCCCAAUGGGCAAUGUGCACACCUUCUCUCCUUCAUCCACACACACCUGUGCACUUGUGAGACGGAGGAUUGAAAAAAAGCCCUCCGUCUACUAAUCACACAAACUCAUUGUAAUUGCACUGAAUGUAAUUGAUGUAACACAUCAUUGGAACAAAGUUUCAACAACGGAUCUCUUGGCUCUC